GCCUGCUUGGUGCAGUGGGCAUUCCCGUCACAUUAUCAACAAAGGAUGUGCUAUGUGACGGCGCGGGUUCGACUCCCGCAGUAGGCG